rnacentral:rRNA from 1 species
GCCAGACUCCUACGGGAGGCAGCAGUAGGGAAUAUUGCUCAAUGGGGGAAACCCUGAUGCAGCGACGCCGCGUGAGCGAUGAAGUAUUUCGGUAUGUAAAGCUCUAUCAGCAGGGAAGAAAAUGACGGUACCUGACUAAGAAGCCCCGGCUAACUACGUGCCAGCAGCCGCGGUAAUACGUAGGGGGCAAGCGUUAUCCGGAUUUACUGGGUGUAAAGGGAGCGUAGACGGUCCUGCAAGCCAGAUGUGAAAGCCCGGGGCUCAACCCCGGGACUGCAUUUGGAACUGUAAGGCUAGAGUGCAGGAGAGGUAAGUGGAAUUCCUAGUGUAGCGGUGAAAUGCGUAGAUAUUAGGAGGAACACCAGUGGCGAAGGCGGCUUACUGGACUGUAACUGACGUAGAGGCUCGAAAGCGUGGGGAGCAAACAGGAUUAGAUACCCUAGUAC